UGGGGAAUCUUGCACAAUGGGGGCAACCCUGAUGCAGCGACGCCGCGUGAGCGAUGAAGCCCUUCGGGGCGUAAAGCUCUUUCGACCGGAACGAUAAUGACGGUACCGGGAGAAGAAGCUGCGGCUAACUACGUGCCAGCAGCCGCGGUAAUACGUAGGCAGCAAGCGUUGCUCGGAGUUACUGGGCGUAAAGAGUGCGUAGGCGGUUUUCUAAGGUCGGUGUGAAAUCUCCCGGCUUAACUGGGAGGGUGCGCCGAAGACUGGGAAGCUGGGGUGUGGCAAAGGCAGGCGGAAUUCCUGGUGUAGCGGUGAAAUGCGUAGAUAUCAGGAGGAACACCGGCGGUGUAGACGGCUUGCUAGACCAUAACUGCCGCUGAGGCACGAAAGCGUGGGUAGCAAACA
rnacentral:rRNA from 1 species